ACAAAAGGUCACUUUUAAUAUCAAACACAAAGACACUCAGUGGCUGAGAUGCUGUUGGUUUCUUCCCCCAGAAGCCGUGUCUAUACGUGGGCUGUCCGUAGCGUGUUUACCUCAUGGAGAGCUGAGGGUGUCCUGCUCCGCUGGGGGGGACAAUCCCCACUACAACUGGACACUGGGGGACCAGCCACUUGGAGAGGACAUUCCCCAUAUGAACUCUGGAGAUGGUGUUGUUUUGUUGGGAAAGGGUGAGAGUGGAGAAAUCACCUGUACAGCCUGGAAUAAUGUCAGCAGGGAAAGCAGAACCCAGAGUCUCCCCACCUGUUCAGAACUUGGACCGUCUGUGAGUUGCACUUUGACAAAUGGCACAGAGAUUGCCGUUAGGAUGAACACUACAGAAGGCCUUUCUCUCUUGGAGAAUAAGAAGAUCUUCUUCACUCUUCAUGGGAGAGAGAUGUUGUCUGCUCUGUGCUACAACCAACCGAAACCCACAAGCAAUGAAAAAGACACAUUCGAAAAAAAAAAGGAUUGUCUUAAAUCAGAGGUGAUCUUACCUGUUUCGGCAGCACUAGCAAUUAUCACCGUGCUUCUUGUCGUCACAGUGGGAGUUUACUUCUUGUACAAGAGGAAGAAAGAUCGAGCAUCAGUAGGGGAUAAAGCCUACAGCCAAGAUCUGGUGUAUGCAGACGUCAGGGUCAGCAGGAACGAGGGCAACGGCAGGACCCGGAUGGGGAAGAGGGCAGAACCAGAGGUGGUGUACGGAGAAGUUAAAGUGUGAAGUACUUCUGAACAGAAAUGAUACAAGGGAAAACACACAAUUGCUAAAAUUGGUCUUAUUUUUUUUCUGAAAACCUUCCUCUUUUCUCAAGCAAUUUUUGAAAUAAUACUCAGUUUCGACUCCCUCUGCUUCUUUUUUUAACUUUUUAAAAUGUAUUUUUCAUAUCUCACAUUCAUUAAAGGUGAAAUUUUGCUGAAAAUUGUAAUAAAAG
rnacentral:lncRNA from 1 species